rnacentral:rRNA from 1 species
UACGAAGGGGGCUAGCGUUGCUCGGAAUCACUGGGCGUAAAGCGCACGUAGGCGGCUUUCUAAGUCAGGGGUGAAAUCCUGGAGCUCAACUCCAGAACUGCCUUUGAUACUGGAGAGCUAGAGUCCGGAAGAGGUGAGUGGAACUGCGAGUGUAGAGGUGAAAUUCGUAGAUAUUCGCAAGAACACCAGUGGCGAAGGCGGCUACCUGGCCCACUCUUGACGCUGAGGCGCGAAAGCUAGGGGAGCAAACGGG